UGUGUACUCCCUCCGUUCCAAAAUACUUGACUUCCAUUUGUCCAAAAAUGGAUGUACCUAUAUACUAAAACAUGUCUAGAUACAUAUAUAUUUUGAUAAAUAGAAGGCAUGUAUUGUGCAACAGAGGGAGUAGAAU
rnacentral:pre_miRNA from 1 species